rnacentral:rRNA from 1 species
UACGGAGGAUGCGAGCUUUAUCCGGAUUUAUUGGGUUUAAAGGGUGCGUAGGCGGACUGUCAAGUCAGCGGUAAAAUUGAGAGGCUCAACCUCUUCCCGCCGUUGAAACUGGUGGCCUUGAGUGGAUGAGAAGUACGCGGAAUGCGUGGUGUAGCGGUGAAAUGCAUAGAUAUCACGCAGAACUCCGAUUGCGAAGGCAGCGUACCGGCAUCCAACUGACGCUGAGGCACGAAAGCGUGGGGAUCAAACAGG